UACAGAGGUCCCAAGCGUUGUUCGGAUUCACUGGGCGUAAAGGGUGCGUAGGUGGUCGGGUAAGUCUGAUGUGAAAUCUCCGAGCUUAACUCGGAAAUGGCAUUGGAUAACUAUUCGGCUAGAGGGUUUGAGGGGGGACUGGAAUACUUGGGUGUAGCAGUGAAAUGCGUAGAUAUCAAGUGGAACACCAGUGGCGAAGGCGAGUCCCUGGGAAAACUCCUGACACUGAGGCACGAAAGCUAGGGGAGCAAACAGG
rnacentral:rRNA from 1 species